rnacentral:rRNA from 1 species
CCUACGGGUGGCAGCAGUGGGGAAUAUUGCACAAUGGGGGAAACCCUGAUGCAGCGACGCCGCGUGAGUGAAGAAGGAAUUCGGUAUGUAAAGCUCUAUCAGCAGGGAAGAACAUGACGGUACCUGAGUAAGAAGCCCCGGCUAACUACGUGCCAGCAGCCGCGGUAAGACGGAGGGGGCGAGCGUUAUCCGGAGUUACUGGUUGUAAAGGGAACGUAGACGGCAGUGCAAGUCUGGGGUGAAAGGCGGGGGCGCAACCCGCGGACUGCUCUGGAAACUGUACGGCUGGAGUGCAGGAGAGGUAAGUGGAAUUCCUAGUGUAGGGGUGAAAUGCGUAGAUAUUAGGAGGAACACCAGUGGCGAAGGCGGCUUACUGGACUGUAACUGACGUUGAGGCGCGAAAGCGUGGGGAGCAAACAGGAUUAGAUACCCUAGUAGUC